CUUUACAAGUUUCUCAUGGCGCAUUUAUCUUUUCUGCUGUCAAUGGUGACUUUGAAAGAGACUGAAAAAAUAGACAUCCUCUCCAGGAUUUGAACCCUUGGCCUUCAUACUUGAUGUCUGAUGCCAUAUCCUGUAGACCACAUGAUCUACUACACUGAAGAAUUUCACGUAGCGCAUUUAUCUUUUCUGCUGUCAAUACUGAUUUUGAAAGAGGCUGACAAAAUAGACAUUCUUUCCAGGAUUUGAACCCUUGUCCAUCAUAGUUGAUGUCUGAGAGCAUAACCUGUGGACCACACGACCAUCUAAACUCUAGAAGUUUCUCCUGGCGCAUUUAUUUUUUGGGGUGUCAAUGUUGACAAAAGGUAAAAACAAGUAGACAAUCCAGAAAGCCUUUCAGAAUACCUGCCAGGACUUGAACUUAUGACCUUCCGGUUUGAGCACUGAUGACAAUCCCUCCACACCACAAGGACCGUCUCCCUUUUGACUUGUAGCGCAUUUAUCUCUAUUUACAAUCCUUAUUAAAUCUUCACUAUUUGCUCUUCCAGACAUUGAACUUGGACUUUUUAUGUUUGUAUGACAUAUCAGCUACUCUAUGAGAAUCUUCUCUUUUAUUUUGAUGUUUUCUCGUAUAGCGUUUGUGUUUUUAUAUACAAUUAUUGAUAAAAUAUAGAUAACUCUACUUGGAAUUGAAUGCUGGAUCAGAUGCUUUUCACACCACUCUUUCUAAACUUUGUGCUUUCUAAACAAGUUGUAUUAUGUAGUUUCACUCCUCGUCCAUGACUUAAUUUUUUUAUGUCCACCUUCAAAAGAACCAUAAAGCCAGAAACUUAAACACAGAGCAAUUGAAUCUACAAAUGGAAAGUUCUUAUAUUGUUGUAGCAAUGGUGACUUUGAAAGAGGCUGACAAAAUAGACAUUCUUUCCAGGAUUUGAAACCUUGUCCUUGAUGUCUGAUGCUUCUUAAUCUUGAAGUAGAAACUUUCUUUUCAAUAGACAUUUCCAACAGUGCCAAAUGGAGCCAGGAUGCCUUCCUAUUUUAGUCUUGGUACAUCUGUCGAUCUUCCAACAUCAUCCACAACAAGAAGAUCCAGGUCUUUGGGGAUCCAUCCCCACUCUCCUGGUGUUCGGUCUCCAUCUUGCUGUAGUACAUUUUUACACUGACUGAAACAUUGCAUUUGGAGGUUGCCACAACCAGGGUUUGAACCCACAAUCACAGCACUUUACUGACUAUGCCAACCAAUCUGCUCAACAAAUGCCUGUUUGUCUCUUAAGACUGUCAGAAAACUGAAGAAAAAAAGAAAAAACUUCACAAUGAUUUGUAACAAAUUGGACCAGUUUAGAUCUGUCUGUCUCUACUUCAGUCCACCUAAAACUCCUAAGAACCUUGUUCCUACACAUAAAGUUGCGUGUAAAAAGAGAUUUUUUUCAUGCCAGCCAGCUAUGCUCCCAGCAGCCUCUCUGUUGACAUAGCUUCCACAAUGGGAACUAAAGCCCUCCCAUUGUCAAUCUAACCCCAGGCAGAGUUACUACACUACUCUGUUGUCCAGUACAGGCCUAAAGCCUGGAUCUAGAAGUCUAACCACCCCCUCCUCAUGGAACCCAUGCUGCAUUGUUAAGCUUCAUUCUGGUCCUACAAUGGGACAUCGCACUUUGGAAGUCAUUCUCAAAAAGGAGAAGCCAAUCAAAAAUAAAGCCAGUUAUUGUGUCUCUUUUGACACACGUUGCUGAGCUGGCCCGACCUCAUUGGUCACCCUAAACCCCAGGGCUCAUUCAUGUUCAUUCAUGUCCAUUAUAUGAACAAAUUAAAUAAAACCCAGGAUGGAAGGGAAGCUUAGAAUCAGCCUGGGUUGAGAGGAACACACUGAGGAUGGAUGUACAGAGCUUUCUACAUCUCUAAUGGACUUAUUGAUCAAUAUUCAAACACAUCAAGAAGACAUGGACACCUUGUAAAAAUGAGACAGACCGACAGGUUGGACUGAUACAGAUCGCUUUGAUGUGUUCAUGGUGUGUUUGCGUUGGCCUGGACCGACCGCUCUCUGAGGGACUAUCAUUGCUGAUUUUAACUCUUGCUGACUGAAGGAGGAUAUGGAUUCUUCAAGAGAAAACUAAUGUGAUCCUCCAUAGUCGAGAUCCCAGGAGAAAACAGGAACACACAGAAUGGAUCAACUCAAGAUUAACAUGGACUGAUCUUCGAACUUUUACCAACCAAAAAAAAGAAAGCAUGUUCUUCAAUAAUGGACUAAGAACCUUCUGUCUUUUAAUAACUUAAAAUUUAGUAAGCUUAAAUGUACAUUUGUUGAAAGAAUUAAAAAGACAUUGUUUAACCUGCUUAUUAUUAUCAGGACAGGUAAGUUAAUACAUUACCAUCAAUGCUCCUUUUUACCCAACAGACUCCAAAAUAUGUUCAAAUAUUAAUUUAAUAUCUUAUUUAUUUUUGUUAAAACUAGGUCUGUGAUUCCUACAUCAGAAAAGCUUUAUUUCUGCUGCCACUUAUAUUUACCAUACAGCCAUCUAAACUAUUAUAUGUGUUUGCUGUUUUCACUUUAAUGGAAUUCGACAAACAUAGAGAGAAGAGAGCUGAUAAAUUAUUAGUUUAUAUUCAAUACAAUAAGUAGAGAACCAUUUCAUAGACUAACAGAAGUUUAACAAGGUGAUAUUAGAUGGUUAAAUUGUCUGGAUAUUUGUUCUGGUUACUAGCUUGCAGUCUGCUACUUCCCAGUUCUGAUGCUGGGAGUUUGGUAACUCUGGUUUCGAAAUAUUGUGAUCAGAAACAUCACAAAAGAGUCAAAUUACUCUGUUUUUAAAUUGAGUUGAAAGUGUAUUUGAAUUUUCUGCUAGUUAACUGAAUCAAUCUGCUUCGUGCCUCUGGCAUUUAAAAGUGACUUGGGAAAAUAUUUUAGAGGGCUUAAACUCAAAAUCUUUUCAAAUCUUGAUGCUGAGAACUAGUUAAUUUGAAAUCAUUGUCACCAAACCAGAUUCAUUUUCUAGAUCAAAGAUAGAAAAGUGUUCAUGAGCAGGAUACUUACUGAGAUAAACUCACUUCAAACUAUUCACUUGGACUAAUUCCUCUGUGUGUGUUUGGCAAAUAACUGUUGUUUAUCUCCAUUUAUAUGUUUAACUUUCAACUAAAUAAGCUUUUAUUAACACAGUCCUCUAAAAGUGCUGCUGCUGGCUUUCAUAAUCACUUUCAGUCAUAAUCCGCCAGCAGCCAGAAAUGAUGACAGAAAGUGAUAGACAGGAGCUAAAACAGGAAUAUAACAGAGCUAGAGCCUGUCACAGUGGUGUCCCUUUUUCUGUUCAGGAGUUGCACAAAGCCGUCAGCUCUGAAAGGUCAACCUGCUCUAGACCGCACUGUAAAUGAAGCAACCAAAGUGGCCCUGGAAUCCCAGAUGAAGUUGAUUCUCUUCAUCAGCUGUCAAUUGAUUCUCCUACUAAAUACCUCAACACUGAACACCAGAGACACGUGUGGUAUCCGACUCUUUCAGAGCAAUCACACAAUGGAGUCCUCUUAACGAGCAACGCAGCAGCUAAGGAGGAAAGUCCUCGCCAUGCCAACAUGGCUCACCGGCCUGCUGAGAGCCGAGCAGCACCUGACAGAUGCCACUUUGGGGGCAAAAUCCCAGAGGGCUCCAAAGAGCCGGUACAGGACUGAAGCCAAGGCAGCAGGAGACUGGAAUACCAAAACACGUUACAGUCAUAUGUAUUAAUAUGAUUGCUGAAAUUCAUUUAACUAUCCACACUUAAAGCUGCAGUAGUAAAGCAAAUGUUUUUUUACACAUUUGUUGUUAAGAUCAACUUUGCUUCCAGAGCAAUUAUUGCUGUCUCAAGAAAUGCACCACUCCUGACCAAAAACACCCAAUCAGAGCCAGAAUGAAGGUCUUAGUGCUGUCAAUCAGUCUUGUGUACUUGCUGCUAAAUGUGCUAAUGGCAGAGAAACAAUUUACCAUUAAAGGAAAAGUUUUCCCAUCAUCAUCAGAGGUUAUGCUAACUAGCCUGAGCAUUCACAAUAGGAUCUGCUAUCAAGAAGACACUGUAGCAUAGCAUAGAGCAAGAGAGCGGCGCUACAUGGAGAGUGACUAACAGCGCUAAGACACUCUCCCUGGCUCCGAUUGGUCAUUUCUAGUUGUAACUGGGAGAAGGCAGAGCAGCUCAAUUUGUUUUACAGAUUAUCAGUCUCAUGCCAUAGUGACAGUUUCAACAAAUAUGUAAAAAAAUAUUGUUUUAUAAAGGUCACACCCUGCAGUUUUAAGCUUAUAUAAUUAAGAAAUCACUUAAAUAUCACUUGUCAAGCAACAUGAAGUUGACCAAAAGAUUGCAUGUUAUUCUGCUGUUAUCUUCAUCAAAUUCAAGUACAGAUAAGAAACUGAUUAUGGGUUAUAAAUCCAUUUUAAAGGCUCAUCCAAAAAUGGAGAAAAUAUAAAACAAUGACAAUCCAGAGCUGAUUUGUGGCUUCAAGACCUGGGAAGCUCAUUAUAAACGAUGGAAUCAUUUAUUCUGCUCUCUACAAGAAACCCAAGACGCAGAAUGUCUGGCAUUCAGUUUGUGACCGUAAUCUCAAAUGUUGUGCAACAGUACAAUGAUCUAAAACACGGUGCUAAGUCCACCUCUCACUGGAUGAAAAAAAUGUUUUGGAGAGGCCUAGUCAAAGGCUGGAACUUAAAUCUGACCUUUAAUUAGCUAUUGAUGCUCAAAAUAACAAUGUGGUUGAAUUAAAAUAAUUCUGCAAGAAAAACAGAUCAAAAUAUUUAUACAAGGACGUUAAAAACUCAUUUGCAGUUUUUACCUCCAAGGUUUAGAGUGCAGUCACUUUUCAUCAAAGAGAAAAUCAUCAUUUGAAAUUUGCUUUUUAUAUUUAACCAGGUUAUCUUUGUCUGGUAAGAACAUUUUUCAUCUAAAAUGUUUAAGUGUGUCAAAAAAACACAAAUCAAAGAAAUC